GACGAACGCUGGCGGCGUGCUUAACACAUGCAAGUCGAACGAAGUGGCGAACGGGAGAGUAACGCGUAAUCAACCUGCCCUUCAGAGGGGGACAACAGGUGGAGACGACUGCUAAUACCGCAUACUGCAGGAGGGGAUGGCGUCUGAUUUGGUAGUUGGAGGGGUAACGGCCCACCAAGGGGAUGAUCAGUAGCCGGUCUGGAGGGAUGAACGGCCACAUUGGGACUUAUGCACGGCCCGGACUCCUGCUGGAAGGAGCAGGUGGGAAUCUUCCGCCAUUGACGAAAGUCUGACGGAGCAACGCCGCGUGAGUGAUGACGGCUUUCGGGUUUGAAAGGGCUGUUAAUCGGGACGCGGUACCGAAAUAGAAAGCCACGGCUAACUACGUGCCAGCAGCCGCGGUAAUUC
rnacentral:rRNA from 1 species